UACGAGCACCUCAUCAGUUGGACCCGCACACAAACACCCCACGUGGGCGAACGCACGCGCAGACGACCACACAGAGGCACGUCCACGGAGACAUUGUCCCCACCUACACCUACGUACGUAGCAAGCGCUCGGAUCUACCCUUGUGUCUCUUGCGGCAUGCCUCACCGAAAGAUCAUUAUCGACACGGACUGUGGCGGCGACGAUGCCAUUGGCAUCAUGACCGCGCUGGCGGACCCCAAUACCGACGUCAUCGCCAUGACGGCCGUCUGGGGCAACGUCAACGUGAAUCAGGGAAUGGAGAACAUCGGCAAGCUCCUCGACGUUUUCGAGCGCGACAUCCCCUUCUACAAGGGUGCCGAGGCGCCGCUCGUGUCGGAUCCCGAGACGGUGCAGUGGGGCGGCUUCGGCAAGGACGGCUUUGGCGAUGCGGAUUUUCCACCGUCCGCGCGGGUGCUGGAGCAAUCCAAGACGCACGCCGCCCUCGCCAUCACGGAGCUGCUGCGAGCUGCUAAGCCGGAUGAGGAUACUGUCUACCAGCUCGUCUGCCUGGGACCCCUCACCAACAUUGCUCUGGCGAUGCGACUUGAUCCGGAAGUGUUCGACGUACUGGGCAGCGAGACGGAACCGGCCAUCACGAUCAUGGGUGGCGCGAGCGAGGCGAAAGGCAACUCAAACUUGACGUCGGAGUUCAACAUGCACUGCGACCCUGAGGCAGCGUACAUCGUCUUCAACCAACGCAAUAUGCGUCCCGUCCGCGUUGUUUCGUGGGAGGUGACGGUGGACUGCUCUAUGACGUGGACGUUCUUCGACGAAUGGAUAGGCCGCCAGGAAAACGGGAAGAAGCAGCAAAACCGGUUUCAAGUUUUCAUUGAGAAGGUGUUCCAGCGGCUGGAGACCUUCACCCGUCCGCUUCCCGACGGCACCAAGGCGAACACCGGGGACGCGGAGGCGACGCAAGACAACACAUGCGUCAUCCCUGAUGCGGUGGCCAUGGUCGCCGCUCUUUACCCCGAGAGCAUUCUGGAUCGCUUCAUCACCUACUGCACCGUAGAGCUGCACGGACGUGAGACACGUGGUCAAACCUGCCUGGACUGGUACGGCACUAAGCAGUCGAUGGCGAAGCGAGGGCGCUGGUGCAACUGCGAGUUGAUCACCCGUGUCGAUAACGCUCGCUUCUUGGAAGCGAUGACUGGUAUCCUGAAAUACAAAGUUUAAUAUGCGCCACCGUCGUGUUGAUGACGGCACGGACGCCACGCUCUCGGUAUCUUUUUCGUCUUCUGCUGUAUGUGUACGCGUGGGUGUGCAUGGCUGGUGAGGGUGAGGCCGGAAGCGAAGACAAGCACAUCGUUUAUUCACGUCUGUGUUGCAAAGCAGCCCUGCGAUGCUCUUUCCGUCUCUCGUUCGCGUCGUGCGAUGAGCCGCACUCUCUCUCCCGGGCGCCGCCUACCUCCCACCCUCCCCCCCAAGCGGCCCUUCGCCGGUGCGCCAACUGGCUUUGCCCUUGUGACUGGCACAUACCAUCGCAGGAAGGAAAAGAGGAGCGACCUGCAUGAUCAAGAAAGUUUCUGGUGCAGGUCUGCGUGUGCUUCGUUUUCAUUUUUCGUUCUUAUCCACGUGAGAGCGCGCAUAUGGGCGCACAUGUAAGUGUUGGGUGAACCUUAUCUCCCCACCCGCUCAUCCCACGCAGAUAAGCGCGGACACGCAUCCCCCUGCAAGCAAACAUGCAACUAUAUAUGUACAAACACCAAUAUAUACAUAUACAUAUAUAUGUAUAUGCCUACGCAUAUACAUGCAUGGAGCUGAUGUGCACAUUCGUUGACGUAAUGAUGCAAGACGACUGCUGAUGCCUUCGUCUUUUUUGGAGGAAGGAUGUCAUCACAUCAAAGGCUCGCGUCUUUCGAACUUCUUCAACCCCUCCCCCCUCCUCUCCGCCCUCCUCCCACCCCCUUCCCAG
rnacentral:misc_RNA from 1 species